rnacentral:rRNA from 1 species
UAACACAUCGGAACGUAUCCAUAAGUGGGGGAUAGCCCGGCGAAAGCCGGAUUAAUACCGCAUACGAUCUGUGGAUGAAAGCUGGGGACCUGCAAGGGCCUGGCGCUUUAGGAGCGGCCGAUGUCCGAUUAGCUAGUUGGUGGGGUAAAGGCCUACCAAGGCGACGAUCGGUAGCUGGUCUGAGAGGAUGAUCAGCCACACUGGGACUGAGACACGGCCCAG